rnacentral:rRNA from 1 species
UACGUAGGGGGCUAGCGUUGUCCGGAUUUAUUGGGCGUAAAGAGCGUGUAGGCGGCCAGGUAGGUCCGGUGUGAAAACUCGAGGCUUAACCUCGAGAUGUCAUCGGAAACCAUCUGGCUAGAGUCCGGAAGAGGAAAGUGGAAUUCCUGGUGUAGCGGUGAAAUGCGCAGAUAUCAGGAAGAACACCAAUGGCGAAAGCAGCUUUCUGGGACAGUACUGACGCUGAGACGCGAAAGCGUGGGGAGCGAACAGG